CAGUUAUAGUUUAUUUGAUAAUCUUCUACAUGGAUAACCGUGGUAAUUCUAGAGCUAAUACAUGCUGUUUGACCUGACUUCUUGAAAGGUCGUAUUUAUUAGAUACAAAACUAAUUGCCGCAAGGUAAUUAUGGUGAAUCACAGUAACUGAUCGAAUCUCAGCCAGUCUGAGAUAGGUCAUUCAAGUUUCUGCCCUAUCAGCUUUCGAUGGUAGUGUAUUGGACUACCAUGGCAGUCACGGGUAACGGAGAAUUAGGGUUCGAUUCCGGAGAAGCCGCCUGAGAAACGGCGACUACAUCUAAGGAAGGCAGCAGGCGCGUAAAUUACCCAAUCCUAACUCAGGGAGGUAGUGACAAGAAAUAACAACCUGGGGACUUCACAGUCUUACGGGAUUGCAAUGAGGACAAUCCAAAAACCUUAGCGAGGAACAAUUGGAGGGCAAGUCUGGUGCCAGCAGCCGCGGUAAUUCCAGCUCCAAUAGCGUAUAUUAAAGUUGUUGCAGUUAAAAAGCUCGUAGUUGAAUGUCUGGUGAUUGUUGACUCUGGUCUCGGCCGGAUCAACAGUCGCCAUCCGUCUGCGAACUAUGUUCGUCCUUCACUGGUCGUCAUAGGGAGCUGACUUUUUACUUUGAAAAAUUAGAGUGUUUCAGGCAGGCAAUUGCCCGGAUACAUUAGCAUGGAAUAAUGGAAGAGGACUCAGGUCCAUUUUUAUUGGUUAUUGGACAUGAGUAAUGAUUAAUAGGGACAGUUGGGGGCAUUCGUAUUUAAUUGUCAGAGGUGAAAUUCUUGGAUUUAUUAAAGACGAACCAAUGCGAAAGCAUUUGCCAAAGAUGUUUUCAUUAAUCAAGAACGAAAGUUAGGGGAUCAAAGACGAUCAGAUACCGUCGUAGUCUUAACUAUAAACUAUACCGACUCGGGAUCGGAUGGGUUUUCAUCCCCAUUCGGCACCGUAUGAGAAAUCAAAGUCUUUGGGUUCCGGGGGGGAGUAUGGUCGCAAGGCUGAACUUAAA
rnacentral:rRNA from 1 species